rnacentral:rRNA from 1 species
UACGUAGGGGGCAAACGUUACUUGGAAUUACUGGGCGUAAAGGGUGCGUAGGCGGCUGGGAAAGUCAAGGAUGAAAUCCCGUGGCUCAACUGCGGAACGGUCCUUGAAACUACUCGGCUUGAGGAUAACCGAAGAGAACGGAUUCCCGGUGGAGCGGUGAAAUGCGUAGAUAUCGGGAGGAACACCUGAGGCGAAAGCGGUUCUCUAGACUACUCCUGACGCUGAGGCACGAAAGCUAGGGGAGCAAACGGG